ensembl:lncRNA novel transcript
UCAGAAGGAACAAACUCCAGACACGCCGCCUUUAAGAACUGUAACAGUCACCGCGAGGGUCCGUGGUUUCAUUCUUGAAGUAAGUGAGACCAAGAACCUGCCAAUUUCAGACACAAUGGAGAGCGCCAGUCCUGCUGCGGGGCCAUACAUCUAUUUAAUUUCCUCUCAUCUUCCCCCCGGUUCCGAGAGGAAGGUGCUUUCACCUGCACUGUUCCCAUGAGGAAACGAGGCUUCAGGAAUCUGAUAAAGCUUCCAAACUCCCGUGGCUGGCAGGAACCAAGGUUUCGAUGGCCGGACUUCUCAGCCCCCCAGGUGGAAAAGCAGGAGGCAUGACAGAUGAGGGUGAGAGUGCAUGCCAGGUCAGGCUGAGAAGGCGACAAUGCCAUAUGGUUUUUUCCACUUAGCUUAGCUCCAGGAUGACUUUGAACAGUGUUACAGCCCCAUGGGCAGAAAAUUGCACUUGCCUCAAGCUUCAUUAAAGCAAAUCGAGUCAGAAGGGAUUGAAACACCUGGAAGAAAUGCAAUGGAUUCAAACAGGGAAAAGGUGUGGGUCCGUCCCUUUUCCUGGUAAAUCCAGCAGCCUAGGAGAUGUCAGAAAAACAUUCCAAGGUUCCUGGACUUUUAAAGAGGCUAAGGAUGGGGCCUGCCAGGUACAGGAUGGCCCAUGCAGGUGGAGAUGCAGCCACAGGAUACCUGGGAUUCAUUGCAGCCUCGUCACUUACCAGUGUUGGCACUGUAUCGGUUAUCCCGAAUUUAACAGCCUAAAGCCACAUUCGUCAUCUUAUACUCUGUGGGGGUAGGGAAUCCAGGAGUGGAUUCACCAGGAGGUUCUGGCUGGGUGUCUCCCCGGAGCCGCAGGCGAGUGUGGGCCGUGGCAGCCAUCCCUGUUUCCAAGUGCACCAUGUGGCAGUUGGCUUGAGGCUCCAGGUCCUUGAGGUGCAGGCUUCCCCACGGGGCUGCUCGCGGCAUGGCUUCCUCACCCAGAGUGAUGGAUCCGAGAGAGAGCAGCCAAACUGAAAGCCACAGCCUUUUGUAAGCAAACCUCAGAAGUGACAUCUCGUCACAUCUGCCAUAUUCUACUGGUCGCACAGACCUAUCCUGCUACAUGGAAGGAGCAGCAGGAAGGUGGUGGGGAUUGCUGGGACCAUCUUGGAGGCUGCCACAGACAUCCAAGCCCCUCCAGGCAGGACAAACCAGGAUGAGAGGACAGUGUCGGGUGUAGCUGCCACCACCCAGUGUCGUCCAAGGAAAAUGGAGCAACCACAUCCUGCAUGGCAACACCAGGUGGCCAAGCCAGAUCGUGUGACCACUCGACGCUUCCCACCCACAGCAAAGAGGACAGGAGCUCCCAGUGCCUCAGACUGCAGAGUCUACCCCACGUGGAUGGAAGACAGUGAGGCUGGCCAGCUGCACGUGGAGGAUGUGACGUCUCUUCUCAGUCUUUGACCACAAACAUCCCAGAGGCACCCCCAGCUCAGUGUGCCCCAGAGACUCUAUCCCCCAACCUAGGCUCUGCCCACUCUGUUCCCUGCCUACCUACAAAGGGCCUACGCUGGGGCAGAGCCCCUUCCACACCCUGCUGGGUCUCCUGGGCCUUUGCUCAUGCUGUUCCCUCUGCCCGGAGCCCC